CCAAUUCGAACCCAGUAUACAUGGUAGAGACUCGGCAUGAAGAGAGAGUCCCACCAGGGUUCGAGCAAGUUAUAUUGGUACAGACCCGAGAGAAGGAUAAUAGGCUUUGCUUGUUUCGCUUCUCCCUCUAACGCGAGUGAUUUCGCGGGAGGUGGUUACAGAGGGGAGUUCUGAUCAAACUCUUCUGCCUCUGUCCCUGGUUCUUCCCUGAAGUGAAGAUCUAUGGUCGGGAAUCGCUAUCCUAGACAAUCAUGCUGUUUGAGUUGGUAGCUAAUAUAAGGUAAUCUAAAUUACCUUUCUUUUUUGCCUUCUUAUUAAUUAAUUUAAAUAUAUGAUAUAUAAUUUAACCUAAAUUUAAGAACUUUAUGUAAGGAUAUUCUUUAUAUAUAUUUGUCACUAUUCCAUUUUUUAUGCAUCAGUUCUAUUUGUCUUUUUAUUAUUAAUUGUUUCCCCUCCUUUAUCUAAUUGCUUUAUAUUUUUACCAAUAACAAUGUUUCAAAUUUUCAAUUCUACUAAAAACAUAUUUCCAUAUAUGAUAUAUACUUUUAUAAACAGAUGUAAAUGUUAAAGACAAACUCUUCUGCCUCUGUCCCUGGAUCUUCCCUGAAGUGAAGAUCUAUGGUCGGGAUUCGCUAUCCUAGACAAUCAUGCUGUUUGAGUUGGUAGCUAAUAUAAGGUAAUCUAAAUUACCUUUCUUUUUUGCCUUCUUAUUAAUUAAUUUAAAUAUAUGAUAUAUAAUUUAACCUAAAUUUAAGAACUUUAUGUAAGGAUAUUCUUUAUAUAUAUUUGUCACUAUUCCAUUUUUUAUGCAUCAGUUCUAUUUGUCUUUUUAUUAUUAAUUGUUUCCCCUCCUUUAUCUAAUUGCUUUAUAUUUUUACCAGUAACAAUGUUUCAAAUUUUCAAUUCUACUAAAAACAUAUUUCCAUAUAUGAUAUAUACUUUUAUAAACAGAUGUAAAUGUUAAAGACAAACUCUUCUGCCUCUGUCCCUGGAUCUUCCCUGAAGUGAAGAUCUAUGGUCGGGAUUCGCUAUCCUAGACAAUCAUGCUGUUUGAGUUGGUAGCUAAUAUAAGGUAAUCUAAAUUACCUUUCUUU
rnacentral:lncRNA from 1 species